rnacentral:lncRNA from 1 species
UCGGAUAUCCUUCAGUGGAUACCUAUAUCUUCUAACAUCCCCAGUAGAUGUUAUCCCGGUAGCAUUCAUCAGUAAAUGCUAAUCUUUCUGAUCUUCAUUGGCAUCCAUAAGUAAAUGCCAUAUCACCUAACAUCCAUCAGUAGAUGUUGUAGAAGCAUCCAUUAGUAGAUGCUAUCAUCACUGCCAUCAGGAGCAAUGCAUAACCCAAAAAAAAUAAAGAAAAUGAAAUAAAAUAAAAUAAAACCAAAUCAAAUAAAAUCAAAUAAAAUAAAAAAAUCAAAUAAAAGAAAAGAAAAUAAAAAUAAAAAUAAAAUCAAAUAAAAUAAAAUAAAAUAAAAUCAAAACGAAAUUGAAAAAAAAUUCAGAAACUGGGUUGCCUCCCAUCAAGCGCUCUUUUAACGUCAUUAGCUUGACCCGAUAAAGCCCAAACACCCCUCAGUAGGUGUUGAUUUUUAACGUUGGCGUUCUUCCUUCCUUCAUGACACCAAAAAUCUUCUUGUCACCAACUCUAAGGAUCCUCAAUCUCAAGAGCUCUGCUUCCUUUAAUAGUCUUGACAACCCAUAACCUAACUUUGAAUUUCAUUGAUGUGCCACGUUAGGGUUUGUCACUUUUCACAUCAGGGUGUUGGUGAACCAAUUCUCC